UGAGCGGCGGACGGGUGAGUAAGCGUGGGUAACCUGCCUCAUACAGGGGGAUAACAGUUAGAAAUGACUGCUAAUACCGCAUAAGACCACGGUACCGCAUGGUACAGUGGUAAAAACUCCGGUGGUAUGAGAUGGACCCGCGUCUGAUUAGGUAGUUGGUGGGGUAACGGCCUACCAAGCCGACGAUCAGUAGCCGACCUGAGAGGGUGACCGGCCACAUUGGGACUGAGACACGGCCCAG
rnacentral:rRNA from 1 species